GACGAACGCUGGCGGCGUGCUUAACACAUGCAAGUCGAACGGAAAGGCCCUGCUUUUGUGGGGUGCUCGAGUGGCGAACGGGUGAGUAACACGUGAGUAACCUGCCCUUGACUUUGGGAUAUCUUCAGGAAACUGGGGCUAAUACCGGAUAGGAGCUCCUGCAGCAUGGUGGGGGUUGGAAAGUUUCGGCGGUUGGGGAUGGACUCGCGGCUUAUCAGCUUGUUGGUGGGGUAGUGGCUUACCAAGGCUUUGACGGGUAGCCGGCCUGAGAGGGUGACCGGCCACAUUGGGACUGAGAUACGGCCCAGACUCCUACGGGAGGCAGCAGGGGGGAAUAUUGCACAAUGGGCGGAAGCCUGAUGCAGCAACGCCGCGUGCGGGAUGACGGCCUUCGGGUUGUAAACCGCUUUCGCCUGUGACGAAGCGUGAGUGACGGUAAUGGGUAAAGAAGCACCGGCUAACUACGUG
rnacentral:rRNA from 1 species